rnacentral:rRNA from 1 species
CCUACGCGAGGCAGCAGUGGGGGAUAUUGCACAAUGGGGGGAACCCUGAUGCAGCGACGCCGCGUGGGUGAAGAAGCGCCUCGGCGCGUAAAGCCCUGUCAGCAGGGACAAAAAUGACGGUACCUGAAGAAGAAGCCCCGGCUAACUACGUGCCAGCAGCCGCGGUAAUACGUAGGGGGCAAGCGUUAUCCGGAUUUACUGGGUGUAAAGGGGGCGCAGACGGCGAUGCAAGCCAGGAGUGAAAGCCCGGGGCACAACCCCGGGACGGCUCGUGGAACUGCGUGGCUGGAGUGCAGGAGGGGCGGGUGGAAUUCCUGGUGGAGCGGUGAAAUGCGUAGAUAUCAGGAGGAACACCGGUGGCGAAGGCGGCCUGCUGGACUGCAACUGACGGUGAGGCCCGAAAGCGUGGGGAGCAAACAGGAUUAGAUACCCUAGUAGUC